AACCCCGCUCUACAAAUAAAUACCCAAAUCAUGCGAAAGUAAGGAAGUGUUCUUUACUAAUAACUCCCGACGUUACGUUGUCGGCCGCCAACGUAACCCUCCGCGAAGUUAGAAGCUAUACACUUCGAUUCAACUCCAACUUUUUAGAGUUAUAAUAAAACCCAAUCAUGAUACUUUCGCUUACGAAUCAAAUAAAUCUCGUCUCUCACGAGCCUAUUUCCUAUA
rnacentral:lncRNA from 1 species